GUCUGCAUAGUUCAAUGGAUAGAACGAGAGCCUCCUAAGCUCUAGAUCGUGGUUCGACUCCACGUGCGGACACCA
rnacentral:tRNA from 1 species